rnacentral:lncRNA from 1 species
CCAGUGACACCAUAUGCUCAUACCAAUCCCAAACUCCACAAAUUGAAAUACACAACACUCAAGAUAGAAGUUAAUGGUUGUAACGGGGCUUGGGGUAUUGGCUAACAAAGAAAGGUGAAGGGUAAACAAACGUUCUGAUAGGAGCAUAUUUAUGCGCCUUAGUUAGCUAGUUCUUAUGCAUUUCCAUGGUGUUUUCUUAGUUAAAGUAGUCUUUUAAGCUAGUUUUAUGUGUUUUCAGGUUUUAAGGCCAAAGGAUGCAAAAAGAUGCAUUUUGGAGCUUUUUGGAGCAAAAUUGG